rnacentral:rRNA from 1 species
CACGUAGGGUGCGAGCGUUGUCCGGAAUUAUUGGGCGUAAAGAGCUCGUAGGCGGUGUGUCACGUCGGCCGUGAAAACCUGCAGCUUAACUGUGGGCGUGCGGUCGAUACGGGCAUCACUGGAGUUCGGCAGGGAGACUGGAAUUCCUGGUGUAGCGGUGAAAUGACGCAGAUAUCAGGAGGAAUACCGGUGGCGAAGGCGGCAUCCUGGACCGACAUUGACGCUGAUGAGCGAAAGCUAGGGGAGCAAACGGG